rnacentral:rRNA from 1 species
GACGAACGCUGGCGGCGUGCCUAACACAUGCAAGUCGAACGGAAAGGCCCUGCUUUUGUGGGGUGCUCGAGUGGCGAACGGGUGAGGAACACGUGUGUAACCUGCCCUUGACUUUCGGAUAACUUAAGGAAACUGGGGCUAAUACCGGAUAGGAGCUCCUGCUGCAUGGUGGGCGGUGGAAAGUUUCGGCGGUUGGGGAUGGACUCGCGGCUUAUCAGCUUGUUGGUGGGGUAGUGGCUUACCAAGGCUUUGACGGAUAGCCGGCCUGAGAGGGUGACCGGCCACAUGGGGACCGAGAUACGGCCCAGACGCCUACGGGAGGCAGCAGGGGGGAAUAUUGCACAAUGGGCGGAAGCCUGAUGCAGCAACGUCGCGUGCGGAAUGACGGCCUUCGGGUUGUAAACCGCUUUCGCCUGUGACGAAGCGUGAGUGACGGUAAUGGGUAAAGAAGCACCGGCUAACUACGUG